AACCUUGCCAAGUGACCCUGCGCUCAUCUGAGCAAGGAAGUCCCAAGAUUCAUUGAGAGUUGUGGUCUGCUGCGAUAAGUGGUGAAUGGGCAGCGGGUGUGCCCUGCUCUGUGAGCUGUGUGAGAGAGUAUCAUUUAGGAAAAGCUGCAGCCAGACCUGCAUGAUUCAGACUGGCAGCUCCAACAGGCAAAACUCCAGAAUUGGACUAACGCUAUCCACAUGUCUGAGCUGAUCACCACUUCAAUGAAGCAUGUCCCCUAAGUGUUUGUCUUUGUUUUGCAUUUGACAUUAAUUGACAGCCUUUGCAUGCAAUUACUGAGACAUAUAACAUCUUGGAGAACACAAGCUUUUAUCCACUUUCAGUUCAAAUGUUCCUGCUGUCCGCUGUGAUCUGCGUGAGUACGUGUGUGUGUGUGUGUGUGUGUGUGUGUGUGUGUGUGUGUGUGUGUGUGUGUGUGUGUGUGUGCGUGCGUAAAUGUGUCUCGGCCACAUCUGCACCUGCCAGGGUGAAAGCAGUGCAAACGUCACAUCAAGAGAAACAUCAUAUGAGGUGUUUUGAUUGACAGAUGGACAGAAGGUCAAGUCACCAAGAUGUGACAUGUUGUGUUCAGCUCAGGUGUGAUGUGCAGGUCACAGAGUCCUGAACCUUGAUAUUAGGAAACCUGAUGAAAGUUGUGACCAUGUCAAACUGGCACUAAACUUUAGUUUAAUAACUGUUGUGACCUUCUGAUAUGAGACCACCGUACUCUGGAUGUGAAACAGGAAAAGUCACAAGUGUCACUCUUAUGUCUGAUAUAUAUUACUAUUACUGGAUUAAUGGAUAAUUAUGGAUUCAGAUGCUAACAAAGCAUAUAAAGGCUUUUUAAAAAUCA